GCAGUCGAACGGAGCCUUAACCAAAGAAGCAGCCAGCUUGCUGGAAGCGGAAAAGGGAAAGGCUUAGUGGCGGACGGGUGAGUAACGCGUGGGUAACCUGGCCCAUACAGGGGGAUAACACUUAGAAAUAGGUGCUAAUACCGCAUAACAACAGAAAGCGCAUGCUUUUUGUUUGAAAACCAAGGUGGUAUGGGAUGGACCCGCGUCUGAUUAGCUGGUUGGCGGGGUAAAGGCCCACCAAGGCGACGAUCAGUAGCCGGCCUGAGAGGGUGGACGGCCACAUUGGGACUGAGACACGGCCCAAACUCCUACGGGAGGCAGCAGUGGGGAAUAUUGCACAAUGGGGGAAACCCUGAUGCAGCGACGCCGCGUGAGUGAAGAAGUAAUUCGUUAUGUAAAGCUCUAUCAGCAGGGAAGAAAAUGACGGUACCUGAGUAAGAAGCCCCGGCUAACUACGUGCCAGCAGCCGCGGUAAUACGUAGGGGGCAAGCGUUAUCCGGAUUUACUGGGUGUAAAGGGAGCGUAGACGGCGAUGCAAGUCUGAAGUAAAAGGCGGGGGCCCAACCCCCGGACUGCUUUGGAAACUGUAUAGCUGGAGUGCAGGAGAGGUAAGUGGAAUUCCUAGUGUAGCGGUGAAAUGCGUAGAUAUUAGGAGGAACACCAGUGGCGAAGGCGGCUUACUGGACUGUAACUGACGUUGAGGCUCGAAAGCGUGGGGAGCAAACAGGAUUAGAUACCCUGGUAGUCCACGCCGUAAACGAUGAUCACUAGGUGUCGGUGGGUAUGGACCCAUCGGUGCCGCAGCAAACGCAGUAAGUGAUCCAC
rnacentral:rRNA from 1 species